GAUGAACGCUGGCGGCGUGCUUAACAUAUGCAAGUCGAACGGAAAGGCUCCUUCUUGCCGGGGUACUCGAGUGGCGAACGGGUGAGUAACGCGUGGGUGAUCUUCCCUGCACUUCGGGAUAAGCCUGGGAAACUGGGUCUAAUACCGGAUAGGACCACAUUUUGGAUGGUUUGGUGGAAAGUUUUUCGGUGUGGGAUGAGCUCGCGGCCUAUCAGCUUGUUGGUGGGGUAAUGGCCUACCAAGGCGUCGACGGGUAGCCGGCCUGAGAGGGUGUGCGGCCACAUUGGGACUGAGAUACGGCCCAGACUCCUACGGGAGGCAGCAGUGGGGAAUAUUGCACAAUGGGCGCAAGCCUGAUGCAGCGACGCCGCGUGGGGGAUGACGGCCUUCGGGUUGUAAACUCCUUUCGCUAGGGACGAAGCGCAAGUGACGGUACCUGGAGAAGAAGCACCGGCUAACUACGUG
rnacentral:rRNA from 1 species